GACAUUGAGUUUUGAUUUUGUUAUUUUAAUUAAACUUUGAAUAUUAAUUAUUUAAUUUUAUUUCACUAUCUAUUUAUGAUAUCAUGAUGAGAUACCUUGCGUGCUUAUGGAAAGAAUUUUCUAUGAGUAUGCGGUAGUUGCUAUGACCUCUAGCUCGUCAUCUCGGGAUCAGGGUGUGAUAAUUAAUAUAGUAUCAGAAUAUAGAUAGAUAAUGACAUGUAGGAUUUGAUAUAGAAUUAGUGAGUAAUGGGUAGACAUUAGGGAUAUUAGGACACUAGUUUAUAAUGAUUGUGACAUGACCUACCUUAAAUAAGUUUAUAACUUUAUUAAGGAUAGGUUAUCAUCCCAAAUUGAUAUAGGUCAACAUGCCUUCGUAAUGAAUGAGGACUAUUUAAAGAUCUAAUGGAGGGA
rnacentral:lncRNA from 1 species